AAAAUCAAAUAGAAAUGAAAAUCCGUUGAUAUUUAUAAUCGUGAGGGUUCAAGUCCCUCCGCUCCCA
rnacentral:tRNA from 1 species